rnacentral:rRNA from 1 species
UGGGGAAUUGUUCGCAAUGGGCGCAAGCCUGACGACGCAACGCCGCGUGGAGGAUGAAGAUCUUCGGGUCGUAAACUCCUGUCGAGUGGGAAGAAUAGUUUCCGGGCGAAUAUCCCGGGAGCCUGACGGUACCACUAAAGGAAGCCCCGGCUAACUCCGUGCCAGCAGCCGCGGUAAUACGGGGGGGGCAAGCGUUGUUCGGAAUUACUGGGCGUAAAGGGCUCGUAGGCGGCCAACUAAGUCACACGUGAAAUCCCUCGGCUCAACCGGGGAACUGCGUGUGAGACUGGAUGGCUUGAGUGUGGGAGAGGAAUGCGGAAUUCCAGGUGUAGCGGUGAAAUGCGUAGAUAUCUGGAGGAACACCGGUGGCGAAGGCGGCAUUCUGGACCAAUACUGACGCUGAGGAGCGAAAGCCAGGGGAGCAAA